CCCUGCAUUCGAAAGAGAUCGUGGGCUGCCUGUGCACUGGUCCUUGGUAGUGCGGGGAGAGGAAUUGCUGAAAGUGUUUCCCCGUGUUUAAGGGUUCAUCCUGUCCCUUUCAAAUUCUGGAGCUUUCCCACA
ensembl:snoRNA SNORA71 Small nucleolar RNA SNORA71